CCUACGGGAGGCUGCAGUAGGGAAUUUUCGGCAAUGGGGGGAACCCUGACCGAGCAACGCCGCGUGAACGAAGAAGUUAUUCGUAAUGUAAAGUUCUUUUAACAGGGAAGAAAGAGAAAUUUGACGGUACCUUAAGCAUAUGCUCUGGCUAACUACGUGACAGCAGUCGCGGUAAUCCGUAGGGAGCGAGCGUUAUCCGGAAUUAUUGGGCGGAAAGGGUGCGUAGAUGGCAUAGUAAGUCUUUUGUAAAAAUGCUGGGCUCAACCCAGUAGGGCAAAAGAUACUGUAAAGCUAGAGUAUGACUGAGGCAAGUGGAACUACAUGUGGAGCGGUAAAAUGCGUAAAUAUAUGUAAGAACACCAGUGGCGAAGGCGGCUUGCUGAGUCGUUACUGACAUUGAGGCACGAAAGCGUGGGGAGCAAACAGGAUUAGAUACCCGAGUAGUC
rnacentral:rRNA from 1 species